CUCGGAUAUUCCCUAGGUGAACCUUCGGAAGGAUCAUUAUUGAAUAAAGCUUGGUUAGGUUGUCGCUGGCUCUCCGGGGCAUGUGCACGUCUGACGCCAAUCUUUUCACCACCUGUGCACAUUUUGUAGGCUUGGAUAAAUAUGUCUCGAGGAAGCUCGGUUUGAGGACUGCCGUGCUGCAAAAGCCAGGCUUUCCUUGUAUUUUUCCGGCCUAUGCAUUUUAUUAUACACUCGGUAUGUCAUGGAAUGUUAUUUGGUUGGCUUAAUUGCCAGUAAACCUUAUACAACUUUCAACAACGGAUCUCUUGGCUCUCGCAUCUAUGAAGAACGCAGCGAAAUGCGAUAAGUAAUGUGAAUUGCAGAAUUCAGUGAAUCAUCGAAUCUUUGAACGCACCUUGCGCUCCUUGGUAUUCCGAGGAGCAUGCCUGUUUGAGUGUCAUGAAACCACAACCUUUUCAGCUUUUUGUUGAAUAGGCUUGGAUUUUGGGAGUUGUUGCAGGCUGCUCAGAAGUCUGCUCUCCUUAAAUGUAUUAGCGGGGCCCUUAUUGUCUAGCAUUUGGUGUGAUAAUUAUCUACGCCAUUGUGAACUAUGUAAUAGGUCGGCUUCUAAUCGUCUGGGAACGAGACAAUCUCGGACAUUUUGACCUCAAAUCAGGUAGGUUCUACUGAUAGCCUUAUA
rnacentral:rRNA from 1 species